CCCACAUCUACACCACUGAGUCGCCGAACACGGAGAAUCAGUCCACUGGAGCGCAUAAAUCUAAACACCAUUCCAGCAAGAAGAAGGAGGAGAAGCCCAGGAGCUGAGGCAGGAGUUCCGGGAAUGGAGACAAGCAGAGGAGCGUCCCAAGUUGUUGUAGGAGGAGGCUGGCCCACGCCGCUCAUGGAUUGUGGCUUGGGGCCCAGUCGGCAUGGAACACGU